rnacentral:misc_RNA from 1 species
UUUCCGUAGGUGAACCUGCGGAAGGAUCAUUAACACGUUUUCCGAACGUUUUUUGACCCAUCUAUCUUCUGUGAACUAUCAACCCGGCCUCCCGACUCAAACUGCUGGUUUACUGGCUGUGUUCGGUCGGGCGUCUGUAGGGCUCAUAGGUGCAGCUUCCAGAACAAGAUGUGCCGGCGUAAUGCUGGUCGCUCUAGUAUGGUCGUGGGACCUCCUGCAGGCGUUGCCACCCAACCCCAAACCCUUGAAUCUAAUUGCUCUGAACUUUUUAGUUGUGCGCACUCGUUGUGCCAACGAAUUUAAACCAACAACAACUCUUAACAACGGAUAUCUUGGUUCUCGCAUCGAUGAAGAACACAGC